AGUGGUUCUGGGAGUUAUCUCGGCAGGUACUGGUGGGAUGACAGAGGAAGGGAUGGGAAACUCAGGAGCAGGACCUGUUGGAGGCGGAGCUGGAAGAGGGAGGUGAAGAGAUGGGGGAGUUUCAGGUAUGGUCUCUUCCAUAGGUUCUGAAUGUGAGAGAGGAUUGUAAAAGGCAUCCCAAUAAGGGCUGUGCUGUUUGAUUUCUGCUCUUAGCCAAGGGCCAUACACCAUUGUAUCACGUCCCUCGAAUUGAGAUUCCUCAUACUGGAAAUCCUUGCAUGAAGUUGCAUAAUGGCCUAAUUUCCCACAAGAGUAACAAUAAUGUGAUAGUCUCUCAUACCGGAAAUCAAGCCAGAGAGGUUUUCCAGCGAUACUAAUGAGCUUCCCUGAUUUUAAUGGUUGAUGCAGAUCUAUUUCAAUGCGAAUUCUCCCAGAUGUAUCGUGUUUAACUUCUAACACACUGCCCAUUUGUUGUACUGCUCUACUUAAGAGUGGUGGAGUGUUCCAUUCCAGAGGUAAUCCUAUGACAUGAACCCAGAAGGGGCAUUUGGAGAAAUCGUAACAAUGUAAUGGUGUAUUUGGUUUCCAGGGUCGCAAGUUAACCAGAUGACCCGAGAACAACCAGGGGGUUCCAUCUAAUGUUCUGCGUUUUUCAGUUUCAGAACGAAAUUUGAAGAUAUAGAUCCCACCAUCCCGAGAAGAGAUAUCAACAUGAUCCACCCGCCAGGCCUUCGUCAUUGCAACUUGAAAAGCAGGUAAAUUAAUGGUGGGGUUUGUAAAGAUAUUACCAAUCAAGAUGAGGCGACACUCUUUGAUAUUGUCUGUUGUUGGAAUAUCUUCCCAGACCUCCAAUUCUUGUUCCGCACAGAGCCGUCCAAGUCGGUGACACAAUGAAGCGAUACGAGAGGAAUCAUCAUUCUCUUCCGUAGCCAUGAAGGAAAUGGUAAGCAAGAGGAAGAUUAGCGAAGAGGGACUCAGACCAGAACAACAAGUUUCAAGGGUUGCAUGUGAAGGAUCGGCGACAUGCAGAACGAAAAAACGGAGAAUUUGAGUGGAGACGGUUGAAAAGGAAGCAUCCGAAAGCUAAGAUGAUAGAAAGUGAAGCAGAGAGAAGAUGAAGAUGGUCGAAGAGAAGGCAAAGUUGUUUUGUGGGGAAUCUGGAAAAAGAGGAAGUAGGAGAAACUCGAACAUAGCGCGAGAGAGAAACUCGAACAUAGCGCGAGAGAG
rnacentral:lncRNA from 1 species